AGUCAAAGCUUCUGCAAGAUCUGGGAUGGCAUUGGAUCACGCAGGCCUUUGUAAGAGCUUCCACCACGGGAUUCAUUGUCACAACUCACAGGACCUAAGGAUGCUUUAUGUGCCUAAGGUCAUGGCCUCACAUCCCUACAUCCUCAGUGAUCCACAGCUCAGGGCCAAGCUGAACCUUCUAUUGCAAGAUCCUGCUACGGUUACGGAUUCAGAGAGCAUUUCCAACAAGUGAGUCAUCACCCAGGCCGUUGGCCUCAAGGAGACCUGGAACAAGUUUGUGGCAGUUCUGAUGUACCAGCUGCUCUCUGACUCCAAUGCUUCAUGGUGCCCAUGAGAACUGAGCAUCUGCUGUUCCGGGCCUUGUGACUCUGCAUCCAUGACUCAGACUGCCUCCCAACUUGCCAAGUCUCUCUACUGCUGUUUUCUAUCUUUACUCUCAGUUGCUACCUCAGUUUUUCUUCCUUCUCUGAUCCCUGCAGGGCAUGAGGCUGAAUGAUUAGCCAAUCCUUUCCAGUGGCAUAGUCUCUGUAGGUACCAAGGGUCUCCACCUAAAUCCAGUGAGGUCAAAAGCCUCUGGUCUGCUUCCCUACAUGUAGUUACUUUGGUCAGUACUGUUUUCCUGUAUUAUCCAUGUGAGCAGAAUGGCACGGGCUGUGACACACUUCAUGGUAGAAUCUGGAACCUGUGGGGAUGUGUGGGUGGCUGAGUACUUGAAGUCCCUGA
rnacentral:lncRNA from 1 species